UAUUCCAACUUGUUGCUCGCUCUUUAUGGGCUACACGUUGCCUCGAAGAUCACCAUGAUCGCCUCCGACUCAGCCACAUCGAAGAAUCAAAAUGAGCCUGGAGACGCCACUGCCGGAAUGCAAAAGGUUGGAGAAGUGCUCAUUCAGAUGAUCCUGGCACAGCUUGCCAUGGUGGACCAGGCAAGUUUGCAAGGGCCUUGAUUCAUCAUGUGGUCACGGAGAAGAACCUCAUGGGCCACUCACUUCUCGGAAACAA